UACGUAGGGCGCAAGCGUUGUCCGGAAUUAUUGGGCGUAAAGAGCUCGUAGGCGGUCUGUCACGUCGGCUGUGAAAACCCGGGGCUCAACCCCGGGCCUGCAGUCGAUACGGGCAGACUAGAGUGUGGUAGGGGAGACUGGAAUUCCUGGUGUAGCGGUGAAAUGCGCAGAUAUUAGGAGGAACACCGGUGGCGAAGGCGGCUUUCUGGACUGAAACUGACGCUGAGGCACGAAAGCGUGGGGAGCAAACAGG
rnacentral:rRNA from 1 species